rnacentral:rRNA from 1 species
UACGUAGGGUGCGAGCGUUAAUCGGAAUUACUGGGCGUAAAGCGUGCGCAGGCGGUUCGUUGUGUCGGCGGUGAAAGCCCCGGGCUUAACCUGGGAAUGGCCGUCGAAACUGGCGAACUGGAGUGUGGCAGAGGGGGGUGGAAUUCCGCGUGUAGCAGUGAAAUGCGUAGAGAUGCGGAGGAACACCGAUGGCGAAGGCAGCCCCCUGGGCUGACACUGACGCUCAUGCACGACAGCGUGGGGAUCAAACAGG